GAAUCCACGGACCAAGGUGUGGAGGCAGGCUGCAGUGCCGCAGUAGGCGGAAGCAACAUACAUCAUUUAUGUCCAUCAAGUCCCGAGAGAACUACUAAUAGCUAGCUGGAAAGAUGUUUUAGAGAAUUUGUUUGGAGGCCGACAGCGGGCUCGAGUCUAUCUCUGUCU